CGAUGCGUUGGCCGGCGUCGGCGGCCUCCACGACGACCACGCGGGCAGCACUGGGGGCGGCCCUGGGGGCGCUGUUCGAGUCGACACUCAUCGACC
rnacentral:tRNA from 3 species